AGCGAACGCUGGCGGCAGGCUUAACACAUGCCAGUCGAGCGGGCAUCCUUGUGGUGUCAGCGGCAGACGGGUGAGUAACGCGUGGGAACGUACCCUUCGGUUCGGAAUAACUCAGGGAAACUUGAGCUAAUACCGGAUACGCCCUUUUGGGGAAAGGUUUACUGCCGAAGGAUCGGCCCGCGUCUGAUUAGCUAGUUGGUGAGGUUAUGGCUCACCAAGGGGACGAUCAGUAGCUGGUCUGAGAGGAUGAUCAGCCACACUGGGACUGAGACACGGCCCAGACUCCUACGGGAGGCAGCAGUGGGGAAUAUUGGACAAUGGGGGCAACCCUGAUCCAGCCAUGCCGCGUGAGUGAUGACGGCCUUAGGGUUGUAAAGCUCUUUUCUCCGGGACGAUAAUGACGGUACCGGAGGAAUAAGCCCCGGCUAACUU
rnacentral:rRNA from 1 species